GCCUCUGUGGAUCAUGGUACCUGAUCGCCUCAAUUUUAUAGAGAAAUGUACAGUAAGCUAUCAAUCUCAUUGAGGAGGAGAUAGAGGUUCGAUUCCUCCCAGAGGCA